UACAGAGGUCCCGAGCGUUGUUCGGAUUCAUUGGGCGUAAAGGGUGCGUAGGCGGUUUGCUAAGUUUGAUGUGAAAGCCCGGGGCUUAACCCUGGAAUGGCAUUGAAUACUGGCGAACUAGAGUACUGGAGAGGAAACUGGAAUUUACGGUGUAGCAGUGAAAUGCGUAGAGAUCGUAAGGAAGACCAGUGGCGAAGGCGAGUUUCUGGACAGUUACUGACGCUGAGGCACGAAGGCCAGGGGAGCGAACAGG
rnacentral:rRNA from 1 species